GCUGUCCCUGUCUCCCAGUCCCAGUCUAAAACUUUACCUGGCACUGUGCAAUGCUGUGCGGCCGGGUGGCUGGAUCUGUGGAGGGACGUUGCGGAAGUGACGUCACUCCGCAGACCCGCGCAGGACGUCACGUCACUCGCCGAGACUGAGAGGAGACUGGAGAGGUGCUGCGGUAGUAGAUGUUAAGAGAUUCACAUGGCGGUCUUAUCCGGACGGAGAAGAAAAGGAAAGAGGACGUCGCUGAUCAGAAAAGACGUAAUUAUACGUGAAUGUGGAGGACUACAUCAGAUUCAGUGGACUGAGAUGUGGUCAUGUAUUUAUGAAAUGCGAUAGUUGCUAUUUAUGAAGAAAAAAAAGUCGCAUCUCCUUUUAAAAGUCGCAUAUGUAUUCCAGGUCCAACCUGGCUUACAGAAAGUGCAUCUGUCUGCUGAAAAGGACAUUAACACCCACUUUAUCAAAUGUUCUUGUUCUGCAUCAUGAAACAAAGCUACUACAUUAAUGUUAAUGUUAAUUAUAGAACAACAUUUAUUAUAUAACUAAUAACUAUUAAUUGUAAGGUUGAAAAUACACACUGAACACCUUGUUAAUUUUAGGACAUGAGCAUGCUGGCGUACCCACUAAAUUUUAAAAUUAAUGUUGUGUUAAAAUAGAAUAAGGAACAAAAUAAUUGUGUAUAAAUUUUUACAGACUGCGUAAAUGACCCAUAUGUGGCACUAAAAUUUUUCCUUAAAAAAAAAAAAGAAGCAUCCAUAGUAAAACAGCUCUGUGCACAUUUUGGGGUGGGUAAUGUACCGAGCCGUUUUUUUUUUUUGUGGCUUCACUAUUGUUUAUGUGUCUUUUGGUGCUGCCAAGUCUUCUUUCUUGACGUAAA